rnacentral:rRNA from 1 species
AACGAACGCUGGCGGCAGGCUUAACACAUGCAAGUCGAACGCAUCCUUCGGGGUGAGUGGCAGACGGGUGAGUAACGCGUGGGAACGUGCCCUUCAGUUCGGGAUAACCCAGGGAAACUUGGGCUAAUACCGGAUACGUGCGAGAGCAGAAAGAUUUAUCGCUGAAGGAUCGGCCCGCGUCUGAUUAGCUAGUUGGUGGGGUAAUGGCCCACCAAGGCGACGAUCAGUAGCUGGUCUGAGAGGAUGAUCAGCCACAUUGGGACUGAGACACGGCCCAGACUCCUACGGGAGGCAGCAGUAAGGAAUAUUGGACAAUGGGGGCAACCCUGAUCCAGCCAUGCCGCGUGAGUGAAGAAGGCCUUCGGGUUGUAAAGCUCUUUCAGAUGUGAAGAUGAUGACGGUAACAUCAGAAGAAGCUCCGGCUAACUCCGUGCCAGCCGCCGCCGUAA